rnacentral:rRNA from 1 species
GACGAACGCUGGCGGCGUGGAUUAGGCAUGCAAGUCGAACGGUAUCAUCCUUUCGGGGGUGAGAGAGUGGCGAACUGGUGAGUAACACGUAGGUUAUCUACCCUCAAGACGGGGACAACCCAGGGAAACUUGGGCUAAUACCGGAUGUGAGCAACUUUUAGUUGUUUGAAAGGUGGCGUAAGCUGUCGCUUGGGGAUGAGCCUGCGUCCUAUUAGUUAGUUGGUGAGGUAACGGCUCACCUAGGCAAUGAUAGGUAGGCGGCCUUAACGGGUGUCGCCCACACUGGGAUUGAGAUACGGCCCAGACUCCUACGGGAGGCAGCAGUCGAGAAUAGUCUACAAUGGUCGGAAGACUGGAUAGUGCGACGCCGCGUGAACGAUGAAUCCCUUCGGGGUGUAAAGUUCUUUUAUAUGUGAGCAGUGCUUCUUAUAUUAACAGUAUGGGGAGAGAGAUAUUAGCAUAUGAAUAAGCAACGGCUAACUCCGUGCCAGCAGCCGCGGUAAACUCGUUUA